GACGAACCGUGCGAACGUUGUUCGGAAUCACUGGGCUUAAAGGGCGCGUAGGCGGGCGAUCAAGUCCGGGGUGAAAUCCUCCAGCUUAACUGGAGAACUGCCUCGGAUACUGAUUGUCUCGAGGGGGAUAGGGGCAUGCGGAACUACGGGUGGAGCGGUGAAAUGCGUUGAUAUCCGUAGGAACUCCGGUGGCGAAGGCGGCGUGCUGGAUCCCUUCUGACGCUGAGGCGCGAAAGCCAGGGGAGCAAACGGG
rnacentral:rRNA from 1 species